rnacentral:rRNA from 1 species
AUUGAACGCUGGCGGCAUGCCUUACACAUGCAAGUCGAACGGCAGCACGGGGGCAACCCUGGUGGCGAGUGGCGAACGGGUGAGUAAUACAUCGGAACGUGCCUUGUAGUGGGGGAUAGCUCGGCGAAAGCCGGAUUAAUACCGCAUACGACCUACGGGUGAAAGCGGGGGAUCGCAAGACCUCGCGCUAUAGGAGCGGCCGAUGUCAGAUUAGGUUGUUGGUGGGGUAAAGGCCCACCAAGCCGACGAUCUGUAGCUGGUCUGAGAGGACGACCAGCCACACUGGGACUGAGACACGGCCCAGACUCCUACGGGAGGCAGCAGUGGGGAAUUUUGGACAAUGGGCGCAAGCCUGAUCCAGCCAUGCCGCGUGCGGGAAGAAGGCCU